CGGUUGAAGUUUCUGGGCGGGGCCCCGGGCUCCGAGCGCGGUGCAUGGACGUCCCGGUGUGCGUGGUGCGCUUAUGCACCUACUUUCUCGCUUACGCGUGCGUGUACGCCUUCCUACACAUGUUGAUUUAUCUGUUCCACGGCCUCUUCCUGGAGGAAUAGGCCCAUCUGCGCCCUGUUCCCUCCGCCACCUCUCGGGGAGCCGGCAGAGUCCGGAGCAUCGCUUCCGUGGGCGCCCAGUUUGGCCAGAGACAAGCUGUCUUGCGAAUUCUCUACUCCUGGAGAAAUCUAGAUGAUUCAUCCAGUGAAUCCAUCCGAAAAAGCCAGAUUAAAAAAGGUAUCAAGCAUUGACUGAUUCCUGAUACAUUCUCUGCCUCGGCCCACAAGACCCGGUUUCGGUGAGCUGCGGGGCCGAUCUGCUGGACCCCCUUUGGAGACUUCCCAAGAUGGACCUUUCUCUGGCCACAGACCCCUCGGAGGCGGCUCUGGGCGCCCAGAACUUAAAAAUGUCUUUGUGGGAUUGUUUGUUAAGGUUUUAGAGCUUGUGUUUUCAAACAGCUGCCAGUUGGUAUUUGCUUUUCUCUGAAAUCUCUAAAUUUAAUGAAGUUGGAAAAAAAUGUGCAUUUCUGCCUUGUGACCAGGGCCCCAAUGAGUACAGUUAACUCUUCCGGGCCGGCGAACCCGUGCUCGGUGCCCCCGAGUCAGGGCCCAACACCUCUGCUAACAGCGGCUGCCACAGCCCGCGCUGCUUCCUCACGGGGACCCG